GAUGAACGCUGGCGGCGUGCCUAAUACAUGCAAGUCGAGCGAACAGACGAGGAGCUUGCUCCUUUGACGUUAGCGGCGGACGGGUGAGUAACACGUGGAUAACCUACCUAUAAGACUGGGAUAACUUCGGGAAACCGGAGCUAAUACCGGAUAACAUGUUGAACCGCAUGGUUCAACAGUGAAAGACGGUCUUGCUGUCACUUAUAGAUGGAUCCGCGCCGCAUUAGCUAGUUGGUAAGGUAACGGCUUACCAAGGCAACGAUGCGUAGCCGACCCGAGAGGGUGAUCGGCCACACUGGAACUGAGACACGGUCCAGACUCCUACGGGAGGCAGCAGUAGGGAAUCUUCCGCAAUGGGCGAAAGCCUGACGGAGCAACGCCGCGUGAGUGAAGAAGGUCUUCGGAUCGUAAAACUCUGUUAUUAGGGAAGAACAAAUGUGUAAGUAACUAUGCACGUCUUGACGGUACCUAAUCAGAAAGCCACGGCUAACUACGUG
rnacentral:rRNA from 1 species